CCGUUUUUCAACUUCAUUUGUCUGGAAGGCCGCCAUUUUGUCCUUGUACAAUUUCUCCAUAGAAGCAAUUUACAGCUUUUUGGAGAGUCAAACUGGAAGAAAGUAAGUUCCAGAUGGAGUGAGGCGAAAUUUGCUAAGGAGCACUUCUAUGAAGCAUCAAGUGGUUCAGGGUACUUGGCUUGGCAUUUAAAGAAUUUGCAGAGAAGUACAGAUUAGAUCCUGGUAAUGGUAAGAUUUAACAGACUCAACAGGGAAGGACAUCUCUGCCUAUCACCUGCCCCCAACAUUACAAAGCCACAAUAAGAGAACAAAGAUCAGCCUCCUUCAGGCAACUAGCUAUUUAGUGAGAUUCCUUAAGGUGCGUGCCUGAAUCUAUACUUAAAAGGUAGGAACCAGCAUUCCAGUAUUUUUGGAGGAAGUUGAAUCUGCACAGCCCUUCCUGUGAAACAACUAUAUGCGCUGAACUUUACUGUUUGCAACUGUAACACAACUGAUCCACAUAUCCUGCGAUUUUUCAUCUGCUCAAUGUUGUUGAAACAAGCACUGCUGUGCCGUGUUGCAAAGUCAUAGGUAUUAUAUAUGUUGCAAAUAUACAUAGGUAUGUCAGCUUCUGACAUUUAGCAACUUGGACAUAGUACUUAUAUUCACUGACAUGUACAGGGCUUGAAGUAUUACAGACCAUCUGAUUAGCAGCUUUCAUAUUAUUUCUGAUGACAGAAAUGUGCAUUCAUCAUUUAUUUUAAAAGUGAACCUUCCAUGAUGUAAAUUGGCUUGUAAAUUAAU